rfam:Papio anubis isolate 1X1155 chromosome 13, whole genome shotgun sequence.
AGGCUGGCCAGGCCCAUCAGGGCUUGUGGAAUGGGAAGAAGGGAUCCUUCCCCUUCUGCAGGCCUGCUGGGUGCGGCUGAACCC